AGGAAAUAAGUGAAAAAGGUAAGAUUUAGGUUGUUUAAUGUGUAUAAUAUGUUAAUUAAGCUUUAAUUUCAGUUUUUAUGAAUGUUAGGGUUUUGAGAAUUUGUGUUUGAUUUAAAUUGAUGAAUUAAAUUGAAGGUUAGGGGUUGAUUGUUGUGUUUAAUUGAUGAUUUAGUUGAUUAUGGAAGAUUAUGAUGAUUUUGAGUUAUAGAAUUUGUAAAUGGUGAAAUUGUGUUAGAAAUCAGGGGAGAACAGUGGGUUUCUGUUAAAUCUGGACUGGAGGUUGAAGAUGACGAAAAUUCAAUUUGGUCCCUCAAUUUCCGAAAAUUACAGUUUAGUCCCCGAACUUUGGAAAAUUACAAAUUGGUCCCUGGAGCAUAUUCCGAGAUUCUGAACAGAAUAACAUAUGAAUUAUGGACAUAAUUACUGUAUAGAUAAGAGAAUUUAACACUUUCAAUUUAGUCCUCCAAUUUGACAAAAAGUACGAUUUGACCCUAAAAAUUUAGUAAAAUUCCAGAAUGAUCCCUGAAGCAUAAUGAUACAUCCUGGACAGAAUUGAGGAUUAAUUAAGGUCAGAAUUUCAGUAUAUUCAUGGAUUUAUGACAAAUUUCAGUUUGGUCCUCCAUUUGACAAAAGUUACAAUUUGGCCCUAAAAAUAUGGAAAAAUUCCAGAUUAGUCCCUAGCUGUAAUAUUAGCUUUUGCAGAUUAGUUUGAUGAAUAAUUAAGGGUUAUUUAGUGAAUUAUUACCAAUUUUAUUAGUUGUUUUUAUUAUGGAUUAGAUUUCGGGAAAACCGUUAGAUUUUGGGUUUUUAAGAAAAUUGACUAGUUAGUUCAAAAAAUAUAGGGUUACGAAUACACCCUUAGUUAAGUGUAUUAAAUAGGUUAAAUGUUCUUUCGAGUCGUUUUUGAAUAUGUCUCCUUUGUAUUCAGAUAAUCCUGAUAUUCUACCGGCAGGACGUCAGUAGAAUUUCCUUCGGUUUCAGCUUGUGUGUUGUUUGCUUUUGAGUCAGGUGAGUGGAUAAUUUUCCAUAUGCAUGAGAAAUAUUAUAAAUAUUUGAUUUGUUAAUAUGAAUUGGAUCAUGCUUCUUGAUAAUAUAUAUGCUGAUUAUUAUCCUUGAUAUGAUAAAGCAUGAUCAAUUAUUGAAUCUGAUUUCUUGAUAUGAACCAAUAUGAUUUGACUUCUGAAUUGAUAGCUCCUCAUUUGAUGGAUGUCAUGAGUUGAGCUUUGAGAUAUGAAUAUGUUUGUUUGAUUAUGAUUAUGAACCUAUGGUAUGUCAGUCAGAAUACCCAUGCUAACAGGGUAGUGUUAGUCUUUGUGCACAUCGUAUCUGAACCCUAGUUGGUCGGGGGAGUCACCAACCUGUGUGGACUGAUCAUCCCACAGUACGGAGCCUCAUGCUCAUUGCAUUUUGAUUUUCCGACGAGUUUUACCAUAUGAUAUUCUUGUUAUGGCCUAUUUGAUAAACCUUCGUAUAAGAACUAAAGCCAUACUUGUAUAUAUAUAUAUAUAUAUAUAUAUAUAUAUAUAUAUAUAUAUAUAUAUAUUCUCAUUGUUAUAUUACCUCGUAUGUGUAUAUUGAAUGUUAUCUAUUCACUGAGUUGUUGAACUCACCCUCUUAUUAUUUAUCCUUUUCAGGCUUAUAGCUUGAUAGUAGGUUACUUUUGUUGAACCUUCCGAACCUGCCUUUUGGUUGUAAUUUGUACCUUCUUUUUGUGUCAAGUUAGUGCUCCAAAACUAUGAAAUUAUUAACUCUUGUAUUAAGACAAUCGAAUUAUAUUAUGAAGUUGUUUGUUGUUAAUUAUGCGUU
rnacentral:lncRNA from 1 species